GAUGAACGCUGGCGGCGUGCCUAAUACAUGCAAGUCGAGCGAAUGAUGAGGAGCUUGCUCCUCUGAUUUAGCGGCGGACGGGUGAGUAACACGUGGGUAACCUGCCUGUAAGAUGGGGAUAACUCCGGGAAACCGGGGCUAAUACCGAAUAAUAAAAGAGGAAGCCUUUCUUCUUUUUGAAAGUUGGUUUCGGCUAACACUUACAGAUGGGCCCGAGGCGCAUUAGCUAGUUGGUGAGGUAACGGCUCACCAAGGCGACGAUGCGUAGCCGACCUGAGAGGGUGAUCGGCCACACUGGGACUGCGACACGGCCCAGACACCGACGGGAGGCAGCAGUAGGGAAUGUUCGGCAAUGGGCGAAAGCCUGACCGAGCAACGCCGCGGGAGCGAGGAAGGCCUUCGUGUCGUAAAGCUCUGUUGUCAGGGAAGAACAAGUACGAGAGUAACUGCUCGUACCUUGACGGUACCUGACCAGAAAGCCACGGCUAACUACGUGCCAGCCGCCGCGGUAA
rnacentral:rRNA from 1 species